rnacentral:rRNA from 1 species
UACGUAGGUCCCGAGCGUUGUCCGGAUUUAUUGGGCGUAAAGCGAGCGCAGGUGGUUUAUUAAGUCUGGUGUAAAAGGCAGUGGCUCAACAAUUGUAUGCAUUGGAAACUGGUAGACUUGAGUGCAGGAGAGGAGAGUGGAAUUCCAUGUGUAGCGGUGAAAUGCGUAGAUAUAUGGAGGAACACCGGUGGCGAAAGCGGCUCUCUGGCCUGUAACUGACGUUGAGGCUCGAAAGCGUGGGGAGCAAACAGG